GUUGGUCAAAGGUCAGACCUACACUCUGUGGUUGAUAGCAGAGUCCAGAGGUGUCCAGUCUUCCAGGUCCUCAUCACUCACGGUCACACUGACCCCUUCCCGGCCGGUUCUUCUGUUCAUCACUCCCUCUUCAGGAGAUCAGACUAUUGCUGUGAGAUGGCGGAAUGGAGGAGGCAUUGUAGACAGAUUCUAUGUGAGAAUACAUGACACUUUGGGCUGGUCAAAAGAAGAUGAAGUUCCCUACCAGAAUACCACUGAUGAAUACCGCCAUGUAUUCAAACCUCCAAUGCCUGGGGUAUACAACAUGCUGGUGAAGUCACAGUCUGGACAAUUAAACUCAUCGUACGUGGAAUUUCUAAGCGUAACGUUAAACCCUUCCCCUGUCAACAUCUCAGUCCAGUCUAAAACUUCCCGGAGUAUACAGCUGAACUGGCAGAGGACAGAUAACAACAUAAGAAGUUACAUAAUGGUGGUGUCUUGGGGUG